CCGAUGGCGACCGGCGCACGGGUGAGUAACACGUAUCCGAACCUGCCGAUAAACUCGGGGAUAGCCUUUCGAAAGAAAGAUUAAUAUCCGAUAGGAUAUCAAGAUCGCAUGAUCUUGAUAUUAAAGAAUUUCGGUUAUCGAUGGGGAUGCGUUCCAUUAGUUAGUUGGCGGGGUAACGGCCCACCAAGACGACGAUGGAUAGGGGUUCUGAGAGGAAGGUCCCCCACAUUGGAACUGAGACACGGUCCAAACUCCUACGGGAGGCAGCAG
rnacentral:rRNA from 1 species